AAGUCGUAACAAGGUCUCCGUAGGUGAACCUGCGGAGGGAUCAUUACACAAAUAUGAAGGCGGGCUGGAACCUCUCGGGGUUACAGCCUUGCUGAAUUAUUCACCCUUGUCUUUUGCGUACUUCUUGUUUCCUUGGUGGGUUCGCCCACCACUAGGACAAACAUAAACCUUUUGUAAUUGCAAUCAGCGUCAGUAACAAAUUAAUAAUUACAACUUUCAACAACGGAUCUCUUGGUUCUGGCAUCGAUGGAGAACGCAGCGAAAUGCGAUAAGUAGUGUGAAUUGCAGAAUUCAGUGAAUCAUCGAAUCUUUGAACGCACAUUGCGCCCUUUGGUAUUCCAAAGGGCAUGCCUGUUCGAGCGUCAUUUGUACCCUCAAGCUUUGUUUGGUGUUGGGCGUCUUGUCUCUAGCUUUGCUGGAGACUCGCCUUAAAGUAAUUGGCAGCCGGCCUACUGGUUUCGGAGCGCAGCACAAGUCGCACUCUCUAUCAGCAAAGGUCUAGCAUCCAUUAAGCCUUUUUUUCAACUUUUGACCUCGGAUCAGGUAGGGAUACCCGCUGAACUUA
rnacentral:rRNA from 1 species